UGUGGUUUAAUUCGAUGAUACGCGAGGAACCGUUACCUGGGCUCGAACGUAAGAUGACUGUAGGUGAAAGCUUACAUCUCUUCGGAGCAUUUUACGAGGUGCUGCAUGGUUGUCGUCAGCUCGUGCCGUGAGGUGUCGGGUUAAGUCCCAUAACGAGCGCAACCCCUACCUUUAGUUGCCAUCAGGUUAAGCUGGGGACUCUAAAGGAACUGCCUACGCAAGUAGUGAGGAAGGCGGGGAUGACGUCAAAUCAGCACGGCCCUUACGUCCAGGGCUACACACGUGCUACAAUGGCCGAUACAGAGGGCAGCUACCUGGUGACAGGAUGCAAAUCUCCAAAGUCGGUCUCAGUUCGGAUCGGAGUCUGCAACCCGACUCCGUGAAGUUGGAUUCGCUAGUAAUCGCGCAUCAGCCAUGGCGCGGUGAAUACGUUCCCGGGCCUU
rnacentral:rRNA from 1 species